CUAAACGCCGCCGGAAAACGCUUCGAGCCCGACUCCCGGGUCACCUGGCCCCAGCGCCCGGCCCUGCCUUCAAGGGAGCCCCGGGGCCGCCUCUGGUCACCGGGGACCGCGCACCGGGCUCUGGGGCAGUCACGUGGUCGGCGGAGGCGGCCUGGGCUUCCUCACCUGCAUCCCGGGAACUUGGACAGCCACCGGACGGGAGUUCAUGAAGAAUUAGAUAAGAAGGAAGCAACUCUCCUAGACCCAGAGGAGACACUGGAAGAACAUUGGCCCUUAGGUGCAACCAUUACCCCCUUAGGCCUGGAUCCCUGAGGUUUGUUCCCUGAUAUCCCAAGAUAAUUUGGUACCAAGAGAAAACACUGGAGAUAGAGUGCUGAGUGAAGAAAAAGUAGAAGGGCAGAGACUAGCCUCUCUGAGCACGUGGUGUUCGCUUACUCUGGGAUGCUGGACCUUUUUGGUAGCAGAAUCUGAGCGGACAGGACAAUUCCUGGUGGCUUAUAGCACCGCCCAGUGUGCUUGCUGGAGAUCUCAGAUGCACCCAAAUUGGAGCUGGGAGAGUCUGGAGACAUAUGGAACCACCUAGCCAAGCCAAGAACAGUUAGUACUUCUGCUACAAGGUCAGGCUUUGCACAAACUGAUGGGAACCAAAAACAAGUGAAGAAGAAUGAAGAUGAACCCACAUUUCAAAAGUCCUUUUCUGCUGGAGGUGGCAUUACCUGUGACCUCGCCUCACUUCAUACAUGGCUGUUGGAGCAGAUUCUAUGUAUCCAUUCAUGAGAGACACAGAGAGAGAAAGGCGGAGACACAGGCAGAGGG